rnacentral:rRNA from 1 species
UCUGACGGGUGAGUAACGCGUGAGAAUCUGGCUCUAGGUUCGGGACAACCACUGGAAACGGUGGCUAAUACCGGGUAUGCCGAGAGGUGAAAGGUUAACUGCCUGGAGAUGAGCUCGCGUCUGAUUAGCUAGUUGGUGGUGUAAGGGACUACCAAGGCGACGAUCAGUAGCUGGUCUGAGAGGAUGAUCAGCCACACUGGAACUGAGACACGGUCCAGACUCCUACGGGAGGCAGCAGUGGGGAAUUUUCCGCAAUGGGCGAAAGCCUGACGGAGCAAUACCGCGUGAGGGAGGAAGGCUCUUGGGUUGUAAACCUCUUUUCUCAGGGAAUAAGCAAGUGAAGGUACCUGAGGAAUCAGCAUCGGCUAACUCCGUGCCAGCAGCCGCGGUAAUACGGAGGAUGCAAGCGUUAUCCGGAAUGAUUGGGCGUAAAGCGUCCGUAGGUGGCUGUGUGUGUCUAUUGUUAAAGAGUUUGGCUCAACCAAAUAAGGGCGGUAGAAACUACACAGCUAGAGUGCGUUCGGGGCAGAGGGAAUUCCUGGUGUAGCGGUGAAAUGCGUAGAGAUCAGGAAGAACACCGGCCCGAAAAAAAAGGGAAAAGACACCCCUGGCGUCAUCGGACGGGAGAGACGCGCGC